rnacentral:rRNA from 1 species
GUGAGUCAUCGAGUCUUUGAACGCACCUUGCGCUCCUUGGUAUUCCGAGGAGCAUGCCUGUUUGAGUGUCAUGAAAUUCUCAACUGCCUUUUAGCAUUUAUGUUAAGGGUGAAGUUGGAGUUGGAGGAUAAUUGCUGGCGCAACUGAGGUUGCUUGUUGGCUCCUCUUGAAUGAAUGAGUUUUUCUGAUGGAUCAUAGCUCAGUAACACUAAUGUGAUAAUUAUCUACGUUAGAUGUGAAGAGGCUCCUACAAGAAAAGGUGUAUCGUUGGGGAAUAACAAACCCUUUGACUUUGACAAAUCUGACCUCAAAUCAGGUAGGACUACCCGCUGAACUUAAGCAUAUCAAUAAGCGGAGG